UUCCAUUCUUCCCUUUAUAUGUGUUAGUUAUUUUUUGUCUUUUUAUUUUACGAUGAUUUUAUCGAGCGUGUUGUUAUACUUAUCCUUUCAUACUAGUAGUUGCAGUAUUACUUUUGUAGUUUCCUUGUCCGUCUUGUGGUUUAUUAUUUGUUGUUUCUUGUAUUAUUUUGUAUAUUCUUGUCUUUCUAUUGUUUAUUUCAUGUACUUUGUUUGUUGUAUUAUUUUAAAAAAGCAUAUAGUAGUAAUUUUUGCUUCGUCACAUUCGUUAUUUCUUAUACCAAAUUGUUUUAUUCUGCUUCACUUUGAGGCGAGGAUCUAUUGGAAACAUCCUCUCCAUCUGUCAAGAUAUUAGGAAUCCAGCAGAGCAGAUGGAUUCCAGAUCAGCCCGUGAUAUCUUAUGAGUCCAACAAGCAUUUAUCUGUCCAUCAAAUCCACAAUUUGACUGCAUCCCCGAUGCUGAUAUGCCUUUCACGUAUUCCUGGCACAGCCCAAAAUAAGAGGGAGGGAAAACACGUAAGCACCUUAAGUCUUGUUGGGAAAAAAAAAGAUGGCCUGAGAAACAUCUAGGUGACUACUUGA